rnacentral:rRNA from 1 species
AUUGAACGCUGGCGGCAGGCCUAACACAUGCAAGUCGAACGAGUGGCGGACGGGUGAGUAAUGUCUGGGAAACUGCCUGAUGGAGGGGGAUAACUACUGGAAACGGUAGCUGAUACCGCAUACCAUCGGAGGUGCACAGAUGGGAUUAGCUAGUAGGUGGGGUAAAGGCACACCUAGGCGAAGAUACCUAGCUGGGCUGAGAGGAUGACCGGCCACACUGGAACUGAGACACGGCCCAGACUCCUACGGGAGGCAGCAGUGGGGAAUAUUGCACAAUGGGCGAAAGCCUGAUGCAGCCAUGCCGCGUGUAUGAAGAAGGCCUUCGGGUUGUAAAGUACUUUCAGCGGUGAGGCGUUACCCGCAGAAGAAGCACCGGCUAACUCCGUGCCAGCCGCCGCGGUAAUUC